rnacentral:rRNA from 1 species
GUCUAUGGCCAAGCUACCCUGAACAAGCCCGAUCCCAUCUGACCUCUGAAGCUAAGCAGGGUCAGGUCUGGUUAGUACUUGGAUGGGAGACUAUCUAGGAAGAUCAGGUGCUGUAGGUG